CAGGAACGCUGGCGGCAGGCUUAACACAUGCAAGUCGAGCGCCCCGCAAGGGGAGCGGCAGACGGGUGAGUAACGCGUGGGAAUCUACCCAUCUCUACGGAAUAACGCAUGGAAACGUGUGCUAAUACCGUAUACGUCCUUCGGGAGAAAGAUUUAUCGGAGAUGGAUGAGCCCGCGUUGGAUUAGCUAGUUGGUGGGGUAAAGGCCUACCAAGGCGACGAUCCAUAGCUGGUCUGAGAGGAUGAUCAGCCACACUGGGACUGAGACACGGCCCAGACUCCUACGGGAGGCAGCAGUGGGGAAUAUUGGACAACGGGCGCAAGCCUGAUCCAGCCAUGCCGCGUGAGUGAUGAAGGCCCUAGGGUUGUAAAGCUCUUUCACCGGUGAAGAUAAUGACGGUAACCGGAGAAGAAGCCCCGGCUAACUUCGUGCCAGCCGCCGCCGUAAGAC
rnacentral:rRNA from 1 species